CCUACGGGUGGCACCAGUGGGGAAUUUUGGACAAUGGGCGAAAGCCUGAUCCAGCAAUGCCGCGUGUGUGAAGAAGGCCUUCGGGUUGUAAAGCACUUUUGUCCGGAAAGAAAUCCUUGGCUCUAAUACAGUCGGGGGAUGACGGUACCGGAAGAAUAAGCACCGGCUAACUACGUGCCAGCAGCCGCGGUAAUACGUAGGGUGCAAGCGUUAAUCGGAAUUACUGGGCGUAAAGCGUGCGCAGGCGGUUUGCUAAGACCGAUGUGAAAUCCCCGGGCUCAACCUGGGAACUGCAUUGGUGACUGGCAGGCUAGAGUAUGGCAGAGGGGGGUAGAAUUCCACGUGUAGCAGUGAAAUGCGUAGAGAUGUGGAGGAAUACCGAUGGCGAAGGCAGCCCCCUGGGCCAAUACUGACGCUCAUGCACGAAAGCGUGGGGAGCAAACAGGAUUAGAUACCCUCGUAGUC
rnacentral:rRNA from 1 species